CUUGCCGGGCGGCGGCAGCGCUGCCAACCCCGUCAGGUCCGAAAGGAAGCAGCGGCAACAGAGGUUGCCGGGUGCCCGGCGCUCAU
rnacentral:SRP_RNA from 1 species